rnacentral:misc_RNA from 1 species
UCCCCGUUAUCCUGGGCAGUCCCUCCAGAGUCCCCGGCCGAACCGUUGGCAACUAGAGACAAGGGUUUCGCUCGUUGAGGGACUUAACCCGACAUCUCACGACACGAGCUGACGACAGCCAUGCAACACCUGUCCACGUUUCACCCUUGCGGGCAGAGUAUCCGACUUUCAUCAGACCCAUCCGUGGAUGUCAAACCCGGGUAAGGUUCUUCGCGUUGCUUCGAAUUGAACCACAUGCUCCACCGCUUGUGUGAGCCCCCGUCAAUUCCUUUGAGUUUUAGCCUUGCGACCGUACUCCCCAGGCGGGGCACUUAACACAUUUGCUUCGGCAAAGAAGGUAUCGACACCUCCUCUACCCAGUGCCCAUCGUUUACAGCUAGGACUAC